rnacentral:pre_miRNA from 13 species
CCACUCGGUCGCGGGGACUGACGGGAAGCGCGAGCCGCGAACGAGGGUGUCGGCCAUUUUGUGUCUGUUUCCUGAGGGACGCGGUGGUAGCCGU